UAGCUAGUUGGUGGGGUAAGGGCCUACCAAGGCGACGAUCGGUAGCUGGUCUGAGAGGAUGACCAGCCACACUGGAACUGAGACACGGUCCAGACUCCUACGGGAGGCAGCAGUGGGGAAUAUUGGACAAUGGGGGCAGCCCUGAUCCAGCAAUGCCGCGUGUGUGAAGAAGGCCUGAGGGUUGUAAAGCACUUUCAGUGGGGAGGAGGGUUGAUAGGUUAAGAGCUGAUUAACUGGACGUUACCCACAGAAGAAGCACCGGCUAACUCCGUGCCAGCAGCCGCGGUAAUACGGAGGGUGUGAGCGUUAAUCGGAAUUACUGGGCGUAAAGGGUGCGUAGGUGGUUGAUUAAGUUAUCUGUGAAAUUCCUGGGCUUAACCUGGGACGGUCAGAUAAUACUGGUUGACUCGAGUAUGGGAGAGGGUAGUGGAAUUUCCGGUGUAGCGGUGAAAUGCGUAGAGAUCGGAAGGAACACCAGUGGCGAAGGCGGCUACCUGGCCUAAUACUGACACUGAGGCACGAAAGCGUGGGGAGCAAACAGGAUUAGAUACCCUGGUAGUCCACGCUGUAAACGACGUCAACUAGCUGUUGGUUAUAUGAAAAUAAUUAGUGGCGC
rnacentral:rRNA from 1 species